rnacentral:rRNA from 1 species
UACGGGGGGGGCAAGCGUUGUCCGGAAUCAUUGGGCGUAAAGGGUGCGUAGGCGGAAUGGUAAGUCAGGAGUGAAAGACUCGCGCUUAACGCGGGUUCUGCUUUUGAUACUGUCAUUCUUGAGUGCGGAAGAGGGAAGUGGAAUUCCCGGUGUAGCGGUGAAAUGCGUAGAUAUCGGGAAGAACACCGGCAGCGAAAGCGGCUUCCUAGUCCGUAACUGACGCUGAGGCACGAAAGCGUGGGUAGCAAACAGG